ensembl:ncRNA F25G6.12 ncRNA
ACCACCGGCCAACUAGUCCUUCUCCGGGGGCCGGUGGGAAAGAGAGACACAGACUCCACCUUUCCGCGCGCACUCUUAUAAGCCUAUCUGGCUCCGCACCGCCGACCGUCAGUGCACUUCAUUUUCUCAUCAAGCUCUCUUACAAAGCGUGUGACUCUUUAAUCCACGUGUACCUCUCUGAUAACUUUCACCGUUCUCA